rnacentral:piRNA from 1 species
UGUCCCCUGGGAUAGUCCUCCCUGGAGUCC